UGGGGAAUUUUGGACAAUGGGCGAAAGCCUGAUCCAGCAAUGCCGCGUGUGUGAAGAAGGCCUUCGGGUUGUAAAGCACUUUUGUCCGGAAAGAAAUCCUUGGCUCUAAUACAGUCGGGGGAUGACGGUACCGGAAGAAUAAGCACCGGCUAACUACGUGCCAGCAGCCGCGGCAAUACGUAGGGUGCAAGCGUUAAUCGGAAUUACUGGGCGUAAAGCGUGCGCAGGCGGUUUGCUAAGACCGAUGUGAAAUCCCCGGGCUCAACCUGGGAACUGCAUUGGUGACUGGCAGGCUAGAGUAUGGCAGAGGGGGGUAGAAUUCCACGUGUAGCAGUGAAAUGCGUAGAGAUGUGGAGGAAUACCGAUGGCGAAGGCAGCCCCCUGGGCAAUACUGACGCUCAUGCACGAAAGCGUGGGGAGCAAACAGGAUUAGAUACCCUGGUAGUCCACGCCCUAAACGAUGUCAACUAGUUGUUGGGGAUCAUUUCCUUAGUAACGUAGCUAACGCGUGAAGUUGACCGCCUGGGGAGUACGGUCGCAAGAUUAAAACUUAAAUGAAUUGACGGGGUCAUAGCUGUUUCCU
rnacentral:rRNA from 1 species